CCGCAGCCCCUGCCCUAUAGGGGUGGGGAUAGGGUGAGAGGACGGCAGUGGCUUCUUUUGAUAGAUUCCUUUUGCUGGUGAUCCUCAUGUGCUAGGGAUGGAGGUACUCCCAUGAUUCAUGUCAUCACUGUGCAGUUCCCUGAUGUCCAACAGGAAGGUCACUGGGAAAGACCCUCUUUCUUUGCCCGGUUCACAGCAAACAAUUCACACCAAAUUGAAUAGUUCCAAAGACAAGACGGAGAGAGGUCCUCCCUCAAGCAGCUAAAGUCACAGAUGUAGUUUCGCUCCUACAGAAGCUGUGGAAGACCCACCUGCAAAUUCAACAGUUGAAUCAAAGCAGGCACUUGGGUCCCUGGCAUCCUGGACAAGCGUUUUCCACCCUCGGGUGCAUCAUGUAUUCUCAGGGCGGCCUCACUGAUUUGGAUCAAAAAUUUCAGUCUGGAUUUGAGACUCUCUUCCUAAUGAAAGCUUAAUUUGAAAAUCACCUAAUGCUGAUUGAUUUACAAGAUAAGAUAAAAACAGGAGGAAGGAUAGUCUCUCUCUCCCCUCUGUGGUUCAUAGCCAUCUCAUAUCUGGGAUGGUGGGUUUGGGACUGUGGACUCCUGCCAGGCUUCACCUGAGAGUGUGUUUAAGCGAUGCUAAGUGCAAACAGAGCAGAGAUCCCAGCCGGCAUCUCUGCAGAGUCCUGCAGUACUGCUACCAGUAAUCGAGCUCGGGGCUGACAUUGCACUGAGUGGCAUCAUCAAAGAUGCUGGUUUUUGAAAUGUCGGCUGAACUGCUGUUCCUUUUCCUUCACUGCUGACUGUCAAGUUGAAAUCUCUGGUUUAUUUCACAUAUCCUCCAAUGUUGGCCAAAACAACUCCAAAAUAAAAAAUGGUUCUAAUGUUCAAACCUGUUUGUUUAUGCUGAAUCCUUGGUGGCAACCAUCUGCUGCUGUACUUAACAUUUAACUUACCAGAACACUUGGAGAUGUCUUGAGGUUGAAAAGUUCCUGGACCACCGAGAAGCAAUAUGAGAUGGAAGAUGGGAUGUCUAAGAUACAUAUCCGUGGUAUACCGCUGAUUUGCUACAUGCCCUUCAGCAACUCAUACCUGCUUUUACAUCUAUUUUGGUAUGAAAAAGACAUCUACAGUGAACAAUUUCACUAGCCAAGAAACAAUAAAGAAGAGGCUUCCCGUGCGAAGUUAAAUAGAUGCCUGAGAAGAUGAGCGCCGGAGUCUCCAGCAACACAUGGAUGACGAUGUUUCUUGCAGAGCUGCCUCGUAGCUUGGCAGCCUGGCUCAGCUACAGCCAGCUUGUACAUACGCUCUCGCCUCAGCCUUUACUGCUGCCACUCGGGCUGCCCCGGUGACUAACAUCGCUGGCAGUGGUGGCCCUGCUCCUUGCAAAUCUUCCAGCUGAUUUUUGCCAUCUAAUCAAGUCUCCUCCGUGACAUCACCUGCAGGAGGGAAAAGGAGCUCAUAAACCUGGCGAUCUAACUUAAAAGCUGCUGCUGUCUCUAUGCACGUCUCAGGCUACUCCUGUGUGAUGCUGACGCUCCCUUUGGUCACCUACUGCAGGGAAACGAAGGGAGAUGGAAGUUCGACAAGGUCCUGUCAGUAGGAUAGCCCCCAAGACCUGGCUUCUCCUGCGAGACGUAUUUAUCUUGCUGCUUAGCACAGCCCCUCUACUAGGCAAGCUCCCUCAGGUAGAGAAACCUCCUGUUCUGGCCGUACGAACUUCUGCCUCCCUCAACAGCCGACCAAGAAUGUACCUGCGUGUGCAAGGCAGCAAUUCGGGCUUUUGCAGGGUGAGCGUGCCCUGCCAGCUCUGGCGUGUGGCCUGCUAGCAAAGCCAUCUUUGCACGGAGGUGAAGAGCGGUGGGGAGGUCCUCCUGCGGCACCACCCCAGUCGGCUGGUUCCAUGCACCUCCUGUUUUGCUGGAAGCACAAUUUUGGACAGAGAUCUAAAACCGGCUCUGGGAAGGGAGGGAACACAGAGAAGGGGGCUGAGCCACCUGUUGAUUUGGCUUCUGCUGCCUUCCUGGGCACGCUUUGGUUGGACAUUUCUAGUUUUGUACAGGUACUGAAGAGGGCUUGCUUUCUCUUUGACUCUGUCCUUUAAAACAGGCAAAAAAUUAACGAUUCCUAUGUACAGAUAGCUCUACACCUGACUGUUUUGCUGCCUGGGCACCUGGGCUGACUACAGUUCUAACG